AGCCGAGCGGUAGAGAUUCUUCGGAAUCUUGAGAGCGGCGUACGGGUGCGGAACACGUGUGCAACCUGCCUUUAUCAAGGGGAUAGCCUUUCGAAAGGAAGAUUAAUACCCUAUAAUAUAGGGUCUGGCAUCAGAUAAUAUUGAAAACUACGGUGGAUAAAGAUGGGCACGCGCAAGAUUAGCUAGUUGGUGAGGUAACGGCUCACCAAGGCAACGAUCUUUAGGGGCCUGAGAGGGUGAUCCCCCACACUGGUACUGAGACACGGACCAGACUCCUACGGGAGGCAGCAGUGAGGAAUAUUGGACAAUGGGUGAAAGCCUGAUCCAGCCAUCCCGCGUGUAGGAAGACGGCCCUAUGGGUUGUAAACUUCUUUUGUAUAGGGAUAAACCUUUCCACGUGUGGAAAGCUGAAGGUACUAUACGAAUAAGCACCGGCUAACUCCGUGCCAGCAGCCGCGGUAAUACGGAGGGUGCAAGCGUUAUCCGGAUUUAUUGGGUUUAAAGGGUCCGUAGGCGGACUCGUAAGUCAGUGGUGAAAUCUCAUAGCUUAACUAUGAAACUGCCAUUGAUACUGCGGGUCUUGAGUAAGGUAGAGGUAGCUGGAAUAAGUAGUGUAGCGGUGAAAUGCAUAGAUAUUACUUAGAACACCAAUUGCGAAGGCAGGUUACCAUGUCUUAACUGACGCUGAUGGACGAAAGCGU
rnacentral:rRNA from 1 species